rnacentral:lncRNA from 1 species
GGAGGCUCCCAAGGUUAUAAUUGAAGGAUUAUAUUCUCACGUAAUGGCUUUGGUUUUGGUUCAGGAGGCGUGGCCACUCAAUAGAUGACGGUGAAGAUGAAACUCCGAUAUGUGAAGUAUGUGUGUUGAUUACCAGGUGCUGUAGAGUAGCAGCAGCUGCAGAUGGUGAUGCUACAACUCGUUACAGUAGAAAAUAACACUUCAACAUUCACUUGAUCUCGAAAGGUACCUACAUGCUAUAUGUAACCGAUAGCUUACCAAGUUCUUACCAUUGCUGGCGUUAUGUUUCUUCGCUUUAUGUUUAUAAUCUUUGAUCUCAAGCUUGAAAUGAAUAUUUUUUGCAAGAGAUCAUGUUGGUACUUGCUAGUAGUAGUGGUUGUAAUGUUCAGUAUAAAUUUUGGACAAACCUUGACUUUAUUAUUAGGAUGUAUUGAAUUGUUGAAUCAACAGGUGAAAAGGCUUACAGUGGAAAGUAUAUUGUUUUUCUUUUGCACUUGGAAAUAGUGAUUCUUCUGAACUAUUAUUCCUAGUAGUGUUUUAAAAGGUGGGGCAUGAGACGAGGCGUUUUAAAGGUGAGGUGUAAGCCUCGAGACAUCAUGGAUCUUUAAAUUUUUAAUUUACAAUAUAAUAUAAAAAGUUGAUAACAUCAAAUUAUAAAAACACAUCAAUAGUUUGAAAUAAUUAAAAACAUGAUUAACUCAUAGAAAAUAUAACUUCCCUUUUCCUUUUUCUGGGAUGGGAUACUUUUGGGCUUAUUCCCUUGUAAAUAUUGAACCUCUUUUGUUUUUAAUAAAAUCAACUUUGGCUUAAAAAAAUAAAAAUAGAAAAUAUAACUUCCAACAUGAUUAUAUGAUUAUAAAUAAUGUAAUGAUAUUAAUAUUAUUAUGAGAUGCAAAAACUCUAGCAUCUUAACUUUCUAAUAAUAAAAGAAUUAUUAUUUCUAAAAAUAUUUUAUUAUUAUACUAUACAAUUUAAUCCCCUAAAAGAAAAUACUCAAUAAAACUUAUUGGUAUUAUAAUAAAACAUCACUCCAUCAUGAAUAAAAAUAAAAUUACUUUCAAAUAUAGCUAAAUAAUAAAAUAUGAUAAUUUUGAUACAUGACAAAAACAUGAAGACCAAUGAUAAGUGAAAGUAAAAUUUCGCUAUUGUAUUUUUAAAAGAAAUGUUAUGUAAUAUAUAAUCACUCUCAAAGUGUUUCGAAACACAACUUAUUAUUCGAGUUACUCUCAAUCUUCUUAUUUCUAUAGAUUAAAAAACUAUUAAGUAUCACUCAUUUAUUCAAGAAUUAUAAGACUCAACAAUGUUAACUAAAUGAUUUAACACAUAAUUUGUAUAAGAUCUGUUAGGCAAAUCCCUAGGGCGUAAGUCUUACGUAACUAAGCUCCAAACUUAAGUCUUGGGGCAUUUUGCUAUGGCCCCACUAUAGAUCGAGUCCUAACAGAGUCUUUUAAAACACUGAUGCCUACUAAUAUGUUUGGAAACAAUUUUUCUUUCUUUUCGAAGUCUCUUCAUUUCUUUCAAAUUUGAUUUUUUAAAAAUCUUUCUAAGAACAUACAUUAAAAAUGCCCAUCUAGAAGGAAAAGCUAUAACUAGAAAGCUUCUCUUUUUGAUAAAAGAUAUCAAUAUGUUGAUUUAUUUAGCUUUUCAGUUUUCAACAACUGAACAAAAUUGCCAGCAAAAUGUUUCAUAUUCCUAGGUUUUGUUACAUGACCAAUGAAUAAUACAUUUUCUUCUGAAACAGCUAGAAUAAACUUGUGUAUUGUUCCUUCUAGUGCUACAAAAAUCACUGGGGAUAAAAAACAACUUGUUCAAAAACAUGAUGUUGAUCUGCUUUGUUUGCUAAAGCUUUUGCCUAGUUCACCAGUUCUGCAAUUCAGCUUUGCCUGAACAUAUCAGUAGUGCAAUGACUCGACGUUUAGCGCACAAUAGUUCUGCUGUUUUUCUUUGUAAAAGAUUCAAGAAUCUUGUACAUCCAUCCAUCUAGCAUGCCUAUUACACACAACAAAUAUCAACAUGUCAGUAUGUUCGACUACAUAUUGAAGAUUUCUGACAGGCUGAAUAACAGUUGGAUUUCUUCUGCAAGAAACAAUUUGCGAGGGAAAUGCCAGCCAAGAAAAAGACUUGAAGACGAUAUAAGCCAAAAACAUCAAGUGGUUUGUCAAUUCAUAACCAGAAAGACUUCUUAGUAAGUGGUAAUAAAGAGAAACUAUCCCAAUCCAAAUCAGCAUAAAAAAUGGCAUUGUACUUUGAUAACAGGAAAUGAUAUCAAAACCUAGUCACUUCCAGAUGCUCUGGUCUAUAAAGUAUAGGCAAAUGGUCAGAACAAAAACAAAGUUUAAACAGAGAUUCCUUGCAUGAGAUCGGGGAAAUAGAGAAUCAAACACUUGCUUGAGACUAUUGGAGAAGGAUUUCCCCGUAGGAAUUAUCAUAGUUCUUUAUUUAUGGGUAAUCAGGAAUAAUAAAGACAAGCCCAAGACUUAAAAUUUCUCACACCAGACAUAACUCAACACUUUUCAUGCACCUGGGAAAAUGAUUUUUCACUUCUUCACGGAUAUUCAAGUCAAGAGCCUUCGGUUCAAUUAAAUGAGGAACAUUUCGACUAGAAGUGUGAAACAAAUUAGCAGGGACUUAUGGCUUAUAAGGGGUUUUCACCUUUAUUAAAUCAUACAGCGAAGUAUUAAAGGCAAACCUGUCAAGGCAAAUGUACCACCCAACACUGCACAGAGCCGAGUGAUGAAGUGCAGAAAACUGCGACGUUCUUCUCUGAUGGUCACGGUAAUUGGUGACAGAUCAUAUAAGAAGUAUACAGCUGCAUAAAGCGGCAAAAGACACUCAGUGAAAAAUGAAAUACAGCAAGAGGAAAAGGGAGAAGAAGAGCAGAGACUCACCUGGCCAUGUCCGUUCAAAAUCAUGGAUGGGAGAAAAGUACUCCGUUACAGAAAAUUGAUUAGUUGGUGAAACUUCUUUUGAUAUGUAUCUAUACUCAGUUGGAACAACCUACAUGACAAAAACCAGAACGUAAAAAUAUGGAAGCACGAGAGCACAUCCAAAAGAAAAAUAUCAUUAUGACUCGAGACUUAUCUUCACAAGGAAAUCCAAUUAAGUAAACCUUGAUGCAUGUUUCAACUAAUGUUUCUUGCCAACAGUGUUAGAUUGUGUGAACCGUCUCAUCUAGUCUAAUCUUGUUAUAAAGGAGACAUACCUAUUUCGACGCUACAACACACUUCCUCAUGUCUUCAUUUCUUACCUUUAUCCGGACACAUGGAAAUAAUUGUGUUGAGUGGCAGCAAGACUUGAACAAAGCCCUCUUUAUUUUGUAAAUUGUCCCAUCUAGGAGUUCGAGUCGCUAGAGAGGAAACACUUUAUUUGUUUAUUAUAGAUUUGCCACCCUACAUGGUUUAGAGCGGGUUGGCCUAGUGGAGAGGAUCUUUAACCUCCAACCAUGAGGUUACUGGUCCAAGGUCAUCAAGGAAUAAAAAAGUGGAAAAAGCCACUGCUGGCCCAUGGGACAGGAUUUCAAAAUGAAGAACAAAUUUGCUUUUUUUUUUCACACUGGUGGCCAACAAUUGCAGAUAUUUAGCCUCGGUGAAGAACAAGAUAAUUAGGUCCCCACAUUACAGGAAAAGAAUAUAUCAUACACCACAAAAUAAUCCAGACAAAUUACAGAAGCAUGCAGCCAUAAAUACAAGUUAGUUCUUUCUAUCACAUAAAGAAAGUUGCUCAAGUUUGUUCAUUCCACCACUUUAAGAAAGUUGGUCAAGGCUCCUUAUGUUUAAAAGGAAAAAAAGAUAGAAAGAAAGAAUGGUCAAGGCUAUGUUGAAACACUCUAUGCAAUGUAUUCAAAAUAAAAACUAAAUUAGAUCUCCACAAACCUUAAUGUAAUAUUUGAAUGUGCCACUUGAUCCACGCAGAAUUCGUGAUGUUCCAUCUAGCGGGUUGUGAAUACCUGGAUAUUUGGGCCCAAAUGAUAAAUCAUGGAUGAUAUGGCUUACAUUGACAUGAGUGGACUUUUCAAAAAUCUGCAUUUUCAAAGGAUGCAAAUAAGAGUGAGCAAAUACUCUGGAAGAAGAGAAACAGUAAUACUUAAAGGCUAUUCUCUGAACGCUGCUGUAAAAUGCAGCCUUUGAGUAGAACUUCAUGUACUUCAGAAUAUGGGUUAAAAUAAAAAUGAAAAUCAGCUUCUGCACUCGGACCAACUUCAGAAAUAUGGUAUUGCUAAUUUCUCUAAACUUGUUUCACAAAAUAUUUAGAAACUCACUGUACAACUUCCUUAAUGUGGUAUUGCUAAUUUCUCUAUACUUUUUUCACAAACUAUCAUAGAUCAAAAGACGAGCAAAAUCAGAAAAGUAGCUUCAGCACAAUCUUCCUUUUGUCAUGCAUAAGUUCAAAAUAACUAGCAAGUUGGAUUGAAUCAGAGCUUUCACUUUACUUGAACCACCAAUAUAUAACUUGAUAGAACACCGGAAGCCGACGAAAAGAACUGUCUUAACUCUCCCACCUUUGGGAGGGUUAUUGCCCUAGUUUCUUAGAUGAACUCCUUUUAGCAUCUUCCAAUUAUACCGCCCUAAUUUCAAGGAUCACAACUGCUUACACAAUUUGACCUCAUAGAUACCUUAGAAUGGGACAAAGUUCAAUGCAAUAGUGCAUACUUUCCAACAGUUAUAGUGUAUUCCCAUCAAAUCUAUAAAAAUUAUAAAAUAUCAACAGAGCUGACCAUUUGAGCAACAAAAAUGUUCAUCCCAUGAACGGAUAGAUGGAAAUUCCCAGCAACCCUCUGGACAUCUAAAAUGCCAUACACCUGCAUGCAACAAUGUCAGCAUCAGUUGGUGCAACACUGCUAUCGCUUAGUUAGCCAAAGUGGCAGCGUAUUUUAGGCCCAAAGUGAAAAAGAUAACGGGGGAUGGGGGCGGGGGGAAUGACAAUACAAGAACAAGCAUAAUACAAAGCAACCAAAACAUACCCUGCAUCCUUCCCCAUCAGCCAAUGCUUGCUUAACCUUCUUGAUCAUAUUUUGAGAUUCUUCAUCAAUGCCCUGUAGAUGGAUCUUGUCUGAAUCUUCAUGAUGUUCUUUGUGUGCAUCUGGUAAAAAUUGUUACUUAAAACCAUGUUAUCAAUUUGUAGGAGAUUAAUACUCAGUUGUGUUAUGCAAGCUAGAUCACAAACUAAUCAACUGAUAUAUUCAAACAAAUGGAAUUUCUCAAGUUAUUUGUGCUUUGUAAGUUGGAUCCAUUUAUCCGAUUCCAGAAAGAGAGAAUUUGAUAGAAGUCACUAAGGUCUAACCAAAGCUCUUUAUAUUUGUCAAGAAAUUAACAUUAACAUGAUCAACAGACAAGGCCACACUAAGCAGGUUCAAGGCAAAAGCAUACCAGUGCACAACUUGGACUCGGAUAAAGAGAAACAGAGAGUUAAGCUAAUGCUACUACCCAAAUGCAGAAGAACCAAAUGCAUUACCAUGUUUAUGAACUUCAUGUUCCUUCUCAACAAGGUCUGACAAAUACUCAGUGCCAGUGAUAUGGCCAUCACUGUUCAAGCGAAGCUGCAAAAACUCUCAAACUUAAUUGCCAAAAAAGGCAUGAAAAAAAAAAGGAUACGCCUGGGCAUGCAUACACUAUAGAGUAUAGAUUGAUUCUGAAAACAAAUGCCAAUUUGUAGACAAAGAAAAUUGCAAAUACUAUAAACAUGAAAUAGAAGACAAAUUGCAAAUAUCUUCAUAAUUUGCUUCAGUGUUACAAAGCUUGCAAGGAUAAGUUCGCUUGACUAACAGAAUGAAACUGGGAAGGUGUGGAUGCCGAGGUACACCUAUUCAGAUUUGUAAGAUUUAAGACUUCCAGAAGUUCUAGCCUGCUAAUACCAAGUUAAGAAUAGAAAUGUUUGGUGAAUUACACUGACAUUCCUAAUUGCCAGGUUACAACAAGAGACCAGGUAGGGAACUAUAAUAAGUGUCCUACAUAUUGUGAGGCAUUACAUUUUUUCUUGGGAAAACUACAGCAGAGUUGUAAUUUACUAGUACAAGGCCUCUACCGCCUCUCUCAUUUUCAUAACUACACUACAUCUCUUAAGCUUAUAAGUUAUUAGAAACCAUCCACACAAAAAGUUUCUUGCUUAGUAUUGCUAAAAGAUCCUUAACACUUUUACGAACAAUCUAGCUUACGAAGCUACUGACAUAAUAUAAAGUUAUAAGCCAAUAUGAACUGUUAACGGGAAAUACAAGAAAAGUAAAAAGGUCAAUUGUGAUAAGUAAUUUUGAAAUUGUAGAGGAGGAUAAGUAAUUGUGACAAACUAGAAUUGGCAUCAAAGUAUCUUACCCACAAUCGAAACAUGCAUAAGCAGUGCUGCAAGUCAUAACCAUCAAAACUGGAGACAUUGUAUAUUUGUUAAAUUUUUUAGAUGCCACUGUAUAGUACCGAUGACAAGAUUGCAAGUUUUGGAUACAAUAAAGUCAAACCUCCCCCCCACCCCCACACACACACAAAAAAAGAAAAAGAAAAAGAGAACCAGUGACUAGAUAACCAGUAAAUUUAGAAAUAUUUCUUAGAAGAAAACAAACAAAAACUAAAGUGAAAUCCAAAAAUAUAGUAAAAACAGAACAAUCCUUUUCUUCUUCCAUUUCCCUGACACGCUAAAAAAAGGUAGAAAAAGAAUUGCUAUAUGACAAACUAGAAAUAAAACUUAUGUUUACAAUACUUUUGACUGGGAAGGCACCAGAAUAAUUGUGUUGACUAUUGUAGGUCUGAUAACAUUAUAACAAAUUGAUUCAUCCCAUAAAACUUAGUCUAUCUAAGGCAUAAAAGUUUCUUUAACUAGAAUCCAACAACAUUAACAUUAUGAUCCCAGCUUCUUUUUCAUUUGAAACAGUAAGAAACACAAUUUACUAAAACGCGCAACAAUCUAACCAUGUUAUGCAUUACCCUGUGCCUGUAGUACAAAACAUUCUCGUUUAGUUUUCAGUUCAAUGAGCAGCGAAAUUUGUUCAUUAGUCACAAUAGACCAAUUACCUUCCAUAUGUUUGUAUCAAGAUCUACUUCAUGCUUCCCCGACAUAUCAAUAGCAUCCACACUAAGAACUACCAAAAAGAAUAAAUUGAUCAACCGCUGAAACAUUACGAAAAAAAUAUUAACAAAGAAAAGGCAAACAAUUAAAAUAAAUAAAAAAAUACGGACAGCAAGUAGAGAAUAUUGACUACCAUCACAAGGUAGAGAGGGAAAUGUCAUAUUUAUGUGAAUGGGAAGAUUUUCUCCACGUCUCGAGUCUACAGACAUCUGCACAGAUGAAAUUCACAGCACAAACUUCAAAUGAGAGAGACUAAGCUAAACCUGAAGAAGAUUUCAUCAAAUAGAUGUAAACUACCUGAUGAACAGUAUAUAUAUUAAGAUAGUAACUCAGUUCAUGCAAGAACAAUGUUACCAUAAUUAGCAGCCCCACAAUGGAAACUGGUAAUUAAAAAGAAGAAAGAGUAAAGUUAGUAAAGGAAUGAAACUCAAGUAAAAUACAGACACAAAAUAAGCGAGAAAUAUUCUACAUGUUCAUCCAAAAGUAAUGCUAAAUCGUGAAAAUGUUAGAGAGAAUUGCCUGUGAUAUGUCACAGUAAAGCUCGGGUAAAGGUAACACAGAUAACACACAAAUAUGUAGCGUUAAGCACCAAUCAAGUAAAGAUCAACUUCACUUUUCAUCCACAUAAAUAGUAUGGCAUUCACCAUCAAUAGGUUGCAUCCUCGUAAACUGUUACUUGCAAAAUAGCUAUCUUUUUCUAUUAUUAACAUUCCAAUCAUCAUGAAAAUAUGAGAAAAACAAUUGGGGAGGGUGGCAGAUAAGGAGUGGAAGUUCUGCUAUUCAACAAUAAUCAAGUGUCAUGGUCAUCUAGUGACUAAGAAAAGCCAGUAAUUCAAAUAUCUAAUACUCUCAUCUGUAGAACAUGAAAAGUUACAUAUCAAACGAGUUCCAAUAACUGAUGAAUAAAUCUACCUAAAAUCAGCUAAAACAUCUCCAAUAUCUAACUGAUUUUCUCAUUCUUUUGGGAUUAGCUUCCUCAAUUGAUGUUCCAAGGAUUGCGUACUGGAAUCAACCCAAUAGCUCAGAAGUAAGUGGUUCCAUACACCAUAUCCAUCGAAUAAUCCUUUGGCAAGGAAUCUGUGGAGGAAAAUCGACAGUAGACCAAGAACAAGGCCAAGUGCUUGUGGGACAAGGCCAUAUGGUUUCUACUUUCUAGUAGGAGGAAUGAGUUUGAGAAAUUAGAAAGUAAAGUGCCUGAAUUUCAAGGCAAUACUCUAGAUAAUAGAGAGAACAAUUGAUGAACACAUCAUUCGCCUAUUCUCCACAACUAUCAGGCAUGCACCUCUUCAAACCAAUAUCAACCAAAACUCCAUAUACUUGAUGAAGAUGGAAAGUGUAAUUAAGAAUUAAACCCAUCCUCUAACAAUGAGCCAAGAGUGUACUAAAUAAUUGUUGGAUUUAAGUUUUAAUGUUUUGCUAUGAGAAUAUUUUGUAGAAUAAGAGUAGUCACAAAUCAUGUCAUCUGAAUUAUAUUAUCAAAAACUAAAGAACCAAAGAGAAAGAAAUCAAAGAUGGCCAAAGCAUAAAGGUGAAACUGUAACUAACACUCACAAGGAUAAAUAGAACUUUUCAAGACAUUUCGUUUCUGAACAGCAAUCAUACAAAGAAAAAGGUUACUACUUUAUUCGAAGGCUUAAAAUGUUCUCUUACAAUCAUUUCCUAAGUUUGAUGAUCACAUAGAAACUAGCUCGUGAUCAUCCAAAUAAAUACAAAACAAUUCCUAGGUUCCCACAUAAAGUGAAUAGAAGAGUAAGACUGAAUACAUGGAAUUGAUCACUUAUGAGUUAUGCCUCUAUGUGAAUUCUAGAACAAGCCCAUUACAGUAAAACCAGUUAAGAAUGCAGAGAAUCAAUCAACUAUGCCUCAUUCUCACAUUAGUUAAGGUUGACUAUAAGAUUCCUCUCUAUUCAUUCCACUCACAAAGGUAAAUGAAACCUUUCAAGACUUUUCGUUUUUGAUCAAUUAUGCCUCAAUCCCAAAUUGGUUGGAUCAGCUGUAUGAAGACGUGGAACCAACCACUAAUAUUGUCUACAUCACAUCCCUUGGGAUGCGACCCUUACCCGAACACUGUUAAUGCGGGAUGCAUUGUACACCAGUCUGUCCUUUUUAGCUAUAUGAAUUCUAGAUGCAAGCCUAUCUCAUUAAAAACAAUUACGAACGGAUAGUGAGAAUCAAUAAACUAUUCCUCAUUCUCAAAUUAGUGAAGGUUGGCUAUAGCAAUCAUCUCUAUUCAUUCCACUUAAUGCAGGUCCAUUUCGUAAACCAAAAAAAAAUCACAAAAAUAAAAAGGACUAAGAUCAAAUACCGAAGGCGCCAAACUUGGUUUUCUGCAACAAAUGUUCUUCAGCUCGCGGAAAUGCAUCAAUAGCUCUUAAUGCUUGCUUCACACCCAUUUUUUUUCUCCUUUAUUUCCAAGAUUUGAUAAUGCUGUUCCAAAUGUAUCAAAUUUAAAAAAUCUUGAAGUUGAAAAACACAAGAAAUUCAUAGGCUUUCAUAUUUUAUUUUAAAAAAAAUGGGGGUUGGGAUGGGAAAUCAGGAGGGGAAUCAAACUUUCACCAACGAGGUGAAAAUUAAUGUAGUCAAUCAACUGAGCUACUAAGAUUUUCCCGAGCUUUCAUAUUUAUCCAUCAAUCAACCAAUCAAUUUAACAAAUGAAACAUCCAUUAAUUAUUAUUUUUUGCUCUAAUCAACCCCAAUUCAUUCAAAAUCCCAACUUUACUUGUAAUUAACUAGUCAUUUUGCUAAAAUUAAACCCAAUUUAGGAAACAAAGCUAAAAUUCAUCAUUUAUAAGAAAUCGAAACGAAUUACACAUAAUCCAAAAAAUGAAUUAGCUUUACCCAAUGCCCUGCUACAUUUUAGAGAGAGAAAGUACCUAUAAUGUAGAGAGAGAAUGUACCCGGAAAACGAGAUUCCGAUCUCCGGCGCUUCUCAUAAGAGGAAACAAUAGAAGUCCGACGGAAAAUAAGAAAUUACGAUAAAGACAGAUUAAAAAGGUAACAUAAUUUUGUUGACUACUUUCUAGCUGCUAUUUAAUACUGUUCACUUUUACGUGUUCACUUUUAAGUUCGUUUUGGUACGAGAGUAAUUUUAUACUUAAUUGAAUAAAAAUCACGAAUAUUUAGUUUGAAUUAGUUACUAUUUCAUAUUAUAUUGAUCACACAGUCAAAAUAAAAUAACUCAUAUCGAAAUAACUUGUUCCCACUUUUCUAACCAAACAACAAGAUGAAUUAACAAUCUUGAAAAUAACUCAUUUCGAAAUAACUUAUUUUCUAACCAAAUAAAUAAAUUUCAUUUUUUAUCUUGCUUUUACUUUAGUUUUUUAUAUUCGGUUCAUUUUUUUUUAGUUAAGAUUUUGAUAUAAGUUCUUUUAAAUAUAUUUUUAUUUUAAUAAGAUAUAAUAAGUAUUUAAUAUUUCUUUCUAGAAAAUAUAAAAUAUAAAAUAUAAAAAGAAUCAUGACAUUAUAUUAAAAUAUACUCCUAACAUUAAUAAAAAUAAAAGUUAUGAAAUGCAUAAAUCAAACCAGAAAUAAUGAAAAUAAACGUAAUUUAAAUUAAGUCAUACUCCCUCUGUCCCUAAUUACUUGUCCACUUUUGAAUUGACACACCUAUUAAGAAAUUAAUUAAUGACAUAGCGAAUUUACCAUUUUAUCCCUAUUAAUUAUGAAGUGGAUGAAAAGUUUUGCAUUUUUCAAAGUAAUUAGUCAUUUAAUUGAGGGUAUAAUAGGUAAAAAAAAUUUGUCCUUUCUUGAUUUGUCAAAAUGGACAAGUAAUUAGGGACAACUAUAAAAGGAAAAGUGGACAAGUAAUUAGGGACAGAUGAAGUAUUAUUUAAAAGGGAAAAUGGACUGAAAAAUACUACAACUUUGACCGAAAUUGUUGUUACGAUACCAAACUUUAUGGAUGACUUUUUACCCCUGCACUAUUUAAUAGUGUAUUUUAAAUGUAUGUUUAUGCCCACGUGGACACAUUACUAUUUAUAAUGAUGCAAUAUUUAUGAUGUCAACGUGGACACAUAUAUAUACCUUUAAAAUAUACUAUUAAAUAGUGCAGAGGGGUAAAAAGUCCUUUUCAAAGUUCGAUAUCGUAACAACAAUUUCAGUCAAAAUUUGAGUAUAUUUCAGACUUUUUUCCCUAUUUAAAAUCGAGAAAAAAGAUCUCCACGUAUAUUAUUGAUUUUGUUUGAUUUUAAUUUGACUUCUUAAUUAAUAUCAAAUUAAACAAAUUAUAACUUCUUUUUUUUAAAUAUCAAACUAAAUUACUAAUCUCUUUAUUCCAAUUUAAUUUAAUUUUUUGAUUUUCUUCAAACAUUUCUAUCAAAAUUUUAUUUAUUUUAAUAUUCAUAAGUUACCGUGAUUAUAUAUCUAAUAAAAUUUCAUACGUAAAGUUUGAGAAGAUAGAAUAUUUUACACACUUUAUCUUUAUUUUAUAAAGAUAGAGAGUUUGUUUUCCAGUAAAAUAAGAAAACAUAGCAAAAAUAUAUAUACUAAAAAUAAAUUAAGUCACCUUCUCCACCAUUUUUCUUCACAACAAUAUGCCCUUCAACUAAAACCGCCAUUAACAAAAGCUUCGAACAGUCAGUCAUAUUUCUCUUUUAUUUUUUUUAAUUUUUUUUGUAUUACCUCUUUAAAUCCAUAUUUUGGUUACUCAUCUAAAUACCGAGAAAUAAGAGGGAAAAGUACAAUUUUUUAUAAUUUUUUUAAAUAAUUUUUUUUUGGUUUUGGGUAAUAUCCAUUACAAAUUCAGUUUUUUUUUUCUCUUUUUGUAUACCCAUUUUGAUCUGAAGUGUUAAUUAAUUUCUGGGUGUUGAAGAUUUCAAGCGAAUCUAUUGUGGUAAUAUUAUUUUUUUGAUAUUUAUUUGUGUUUUGUUUGAUUCUUGAUUUAUUGAUAUUGGGAGUUUGGUGUAACUGUAAGUAUUUAUUAUAUGUUUGAAUUUAUUCAUUGGAAGUUAAUGAUUAUUUGUCAUUUGGCUUUUUAUUUAUUUUUCUAGUUGAUUGAUGUAAUCUGCAUAUCAAUUAAAAUGAUUAUGCUUUUGAAGAACUUAAAUACUGCUUUUUAUGCUAAUUUCGAAGUUUAUGAGUUUGUAUAUAGUAAAAUGUGUUUCUGUAUUAGCUUGGGGACAAAAAGUUUACUCAUUGUCAUAGAUAUGGGAUUGAAGGGAGCGAAAUGGAUAGAGACGAUUCAUAAAGCCGAUCCUUUUUAGUUCAGGAUUGAGGUGCAAUAGUCAAUUAAAGUCUUUUCCUAGCAGCUGAUUAUAGGUUCACGUGAACCAGUAGUUUUUGCUAAGAUGACUACAACAAUAUACUCAGUAUAAAUCCCAUAAAGUGGAGUCUGGGGAGGGUAGAGUGUACGCAGACCUUACCUCUACCUUAGAGGUAGAGAGGUCGUCUCCGAUAGACCCUUGGCUUAAGGGAUAGCUUCUGCUAAGACUUUAUAUAAAUAUUAAAAUCUACUAAAAUAUUUAUAGUGAUAGCUUAAGGUCGUUAUAGGAACCAUAAAUUUCAAAUCUUGGUUCCGUCUCUGGUAGUUGAUUUACCUUAAUGAACUAGAAACUACAAUGUGUUGGCCUUUUCUGACCAUAGAUUGCAUUAAGUUUAAUGAAGUGAACACUUAGUUCCAGAUUGAGGCAUAAUAGUUAAUUAAAGUCUUUUCCUAGCAGCUGACAAGAGUGGAUUUAGAGGCUAAUCUUGGUUCCGCCUCUAGCAGCUGAUUUACCUUAAUGAACUAGACAUUACAAUGUGAGGGCCUUUUCUGACCAUAGAUUGCACUAAGUUUGAUGAAGUGAACACUUAAAUCUGUUGUUGGAUUGUUUGGUUAGUUACUUAUCAAAUUUCUAUAGUUGGAUCACUAGCCGUAGUAGUUGCUGGUGUGGAUUAUGUUUAUGACCUUCAAGUGGAGUGGAAGUUAAGUUAUUUAGCAUGCGAUACUAGAUGCAACUGGAAAUUAGAGGAGCAUAACUAUUGAAAAUUAGUCAUUGUUGAUCAUUGUUGCAAACAUAAAUUGACACAUACAAAAGCCUAGUCUAGAUGAUCUCAUAUUUUUAAAGAGGCGGCACAGACACUUCAACUUGGUAUCAGAGGAAGCAGUGGUCAUGAAUUCAAGUCUGUCUGGCACUCGCAAAUAAAACAUGUUUUUACCUACUUGGCCUAAGAAAAAAAAAUCAUGUCUACCCAUGAUUGACCGUGUUGCAGGCUUUAUUGAAGAAAAAAAAGGAAAAUGUCCUCUCUCUAAUAGGUUAAGCUUCUAGAUGACAUUCAACCAUUUCUAGAAGACAUUUAACCUUUUCUGCUCAAAACUAUUCAACAGAAUUUUGUGCAUGAUGUAGGGUAUGGCUUUAGUUGUGCAGCAUUUAGGGAAAUUGAUUCUGUUGUGCUGUCAACUCGUGUACAGUUCUGCAUUUCAAAUGAGAGAGAUAUUGUUAUUUACUCCAGCUCAUUGUGGGUGUAUUUUGUGUCCUCAAGUCAUUCUUUGCAUGGGCGGGCUAGACUCUUGUCAGUCGCUAUGCAAUGACCUAACAAGUUGACAGUGGCUAAUGAACUUCGGAUGUUUACUUUAACUAUACUUUUAAGAUAGAUAGUUCAACAUCUUGGAAACUUAAGCAUCAAUUAGCCCUACUGAGAGGAUAUGAAGUGAGGAAGAGACACUGAUGACAAAGUUUGAUGAAAGUAUAACUUGUGUGUUUGUGUGUGUGCAGACACGCACUCAAACACAUGCCUUAGUUUUGUAUUCCCUUGUAGGGUCAGGAAUUGAAGUUUGUUUAAUUGUUGCUAGUUUCUUAUUCUGGCUUGGUAGGCAGCAAUAGCUGGGAAUGCUACCUGUUUGGGGCUGAUAACCAAAGGCUGAUUAUGUAUACAAAAAAGAGUGAAGGAUUAUGUAUGAGAACUUGUUCAAGAUGGAAGAAAAGAAAAAGUAAUAAAAGAAUCUAUGUAUUGAACUUUAUCCCAAAAAGGAAAAAAUAAUCUAUGUUGCCGAACUAAAUUAGAAAAAAAGAAGAAGAGUGAUAUUAGAAGUGGGCUUUUCAUUUUACGUGGAUUUGUGGAAGGAAGGAAAUAUGUAAGUUGUUCAACAGUUCGAUAUUUAUAUUUGGAUAAUUUUUUUUAAAUUAUGAAAUCUGAUAAAAAGGGAAACUUGAACAUCCAAUUUACGCUAGUUCUUGAUUAAGCAUUUAAUUCAGUCUCUCCCCACCCUCUUUUUUUCUCCCGUUUUGCCUUCAUUGGUGUUUGAAUACAAUAUUGUAACCUUGUUUAUGGAUAUUUUUCUCUUGUUAUUGCUUUGUACAUAGGUCUCACGCUCUUGACAUUCAAUUUGGGCUUCAGCAAGAAGAACAAAUUUGUAUUAGAAACAAUUUCUGGUAUGUCACACGGUCAAGAAAAGUUGUUUGAUCUUUUAACGGCAUUUUACUUAGUGAAUCUCCUUAAUUGCAAACUUCUGUGGGGUUAGGCGAUGGUGGGGAGCUCUUUGCCAAUUGUAACUGGCAGCAUUGGAUUGUUUUGAGCUAUGUUACUCAGACUCUUCAAAAUCCUUGCCGCACCCGUGUUGGCAUGACAUGGGUGUGGGAUCCACACUUGAUUUGCUUAACUUACCUUGGGUGCUUUGACUACAUCUAUGACCGAGAAGUACAGAUUGAUUAGGUAUUUGGCUCGAUUUUUGGGUUUAUAGCAUAUAUACGUAGUUACAUAAAGCAUGAGAAUGCUUUGCUAUUACACGAGAUAUUUUACAAAUAAAAACUAUUAGGUGUUUAUAAAGAAUUAAAUUGUAUUAGUUUCAGUGUCAUAGCUUUAAUUAAUCGAGAUGUAUACUUUGUAUGUCAUAGUAUACAUUUAUUGUCCAUACUCCAGCACCCAUAUUCACAUUCAAAUUAGUGACCCCGAAUCUCAAAACUUAUGUGAUGAAGAAUCUGACCUUUAGAUUCACACCCGUAUUGGAUAUCCACACCCAAGUCCGAGCAAUUUAAGUUUUGAGAGUGCAUUCAACAAAAAUGUUUAGUAUAAAAUAGAUUGAAGAUGAUGUGAAUGUGAGAUGACUUUUAACCUAUACUCUUGUUAAAUCAGUUUGUGUCUUUCACCUCUCCCUCUCCGUCCCUGUCUCCCUCUUCCUCUACCUCUACCUCUACCUCUCCGCACCGAUCUCCCUCUUCCUCUACCUCUCCGCCUCCGUCUUCCUCUCAAUUUCAUUUUCAUAUCUUCGAUUCAUUAAAGCAAGUAAUCCUCUACUUAAAUUUUUCUUGUUAUGCUCUUUACAACUUUAUUGAUUGUAUGUUCUUUCCUUUCCUGGUGUUAUGCAGGUAGUCGUGUUUUUUCCUUUGAAGGAUUGAGAUCGUGAUCUCAACUCUCAGAUCUGUUUAUGCAUCUGCUGUUACAUAUGGGCUGAGAUAUAUAUUUCAUGGGAGGUGCAGAGGAUGAUGAACCACUCUCAAAACGUGUGAAAGUAUCAUUUGGAGAAUCAGCUGAUCAUUCGAACGGGAUAUUUCUUAGGGAUCCUGCAAGUUUCCCAUUGAGUGACUUGAUGGUUCGUCCUCUGGAAUUUCAAGGGGACGAUGAGAUUGUUGGUAGAAAAGGAGUAGUCAAGAAAGUUGAAUUAGUUCAGAUCAUAGCCGAGGCGUUAUAUUCUCUUGGCUAUAAGAAGGCGGGGGCGCAGCUAGAGGAAGAGUCAGGAAUACCUUUGCACCCCUCUUUAGUAAAUUUAUUUAUGCAGCAAAUCCUUGAUGGGAGAUGGGAUGAAAGUAUAGCCACAUUGCAUAAAAUUGGUCUUGUGGAUGAAAAAAUUGUGAAGUUGGCAUCUUUUAUGAUACUGGAGCAGAAGUUCUUUGAACUGUUAGACAGAGAAAAAGUCAUGGAUGCUUUGAAGACAUUGAGGACUGAAAUUGCACCUCUUUGCAUAAAUAGCGAUAGAGUCCGCAAUCUUUCGUUGUGCAUUCUAUCACCUUCACAACAGGUUGUCUCUGGGGAGUCAGGUCCAGAAAUAAUGAAAAUAAAAUUAAGGACAAAACUACUAGAAGAACUGCAAGGACUGUUUCCCACAACAGUCAUGCCUCCCGAAAAAAGAUUGAUCCAUCUGGUUGAACAGGGGCUUGAAUUUCAACUGGGGUCUUGUUCUCUUCACAACUCAUUAAUCAAUGACAUGUCGUUGCUCACUGAUCACCAUUGUGGAAUAGAUCAGAUUCCAUCUCAGACUUUGCAGGUUAGAUCACAUUUGAGUCUUGAUACUUGUUUAACCUGCAAGCAUUAUCAUUCCAGGAUUGGUUGUCAGUUAAUUGCAUUAUUAAUCACCUAAUAACUUAUUCCAUCUGUGUUUAAGUUUAUAUAUCAGUGACAGGUCUGAGGUGAUGUGUUGAUGAAGUUUCGAGUUUGUGCUUUCUAUUGUGUAAACUUUUGGUUAUUCCAUAAUUAAUUAUGCUAUCAUUGUGUCAAUUGUGUUUUUCCUAUAUUUUAUUCAGCAAAAGUACAAGUAUGUGUAUAAGGGUAUCACUGUGGUGCCUCAAUUCAAGCUUGUAUUGUAAAAUUAUACUAUAAUCAGGAAUAAGUAGAAUUUAUCCAGUUUCAUCUACUCUAGACCUCUUUUGUGUCUGUGAUAGAAGUCUAGGCAUAUUGCUGUCUUCCCAACGAUAAUCCUUUUACAAUACUGUAAUAUCCCUUCCUUGCCUUUGCUGGAAUGGAGGGAAAAUGUGAAGUCUAAGAUUCAUAUAGUAAACAACAUGUACAGUGUCAAUAGAUGAGAACUACACAGUUAUUCCACUAUAGUGUUCUUCUCCUUCAUUCUGUCAAUUUGGAUUCAUCUUUUAGACGUUCUAAAUUUGAAUGAGACCUGUGGAAGUGGGUUAUUGAUUAUCUUCCGUAGAUAUCAAAAAGAAAGUAUGCCCAUGUAUUUCCCUGUCCUUGAGAAUGAUGCAGAAAAGUUUGAUAUGUGACGACUUGGUUUGAGUUUUUCUUGUAGUGUCCUUGUAUAGAGCUUGAUUGCAUAUAUUCCUCAUACACAGGCUUUUUUUCCUUCUUUUAACAAUGAUAUCAUUGACUUGACUAUGAUUGGUAGAAGGGCUUAGAUCCUUUUUUUGGUUGUUGAGAAUGAAGGGGUUUAGAUCAAUUAUUAAAAGCUGAAAGUAAAAGAAAUAACAGAAGGGUUUUUUUUUUUGAUUUGCACCGGGUGUCCGAGUCUCUUUGAGCCCCGACUAAUCCCGGGGGUGCACAGGCCCUCGGCAAGGAGUUUCCCGCAAGUGCACCACGGUUAAUUCAGGUUUUACCCAGUCCGAUGGCCCUCAGAAAUUGUUUGCACCCAGUGGGUUUCGAACUUGAGACCUUGAAAGGGAGCAAACCCCAAGGCUCAAGUCAAUUGCCAGCAGGCCAACCCCUGAGGGUUUAACAGAAGGGUUUGUUGAUCACGUUGAGCUCUAAUCCUUUCUUCAUUGUUUGUCGUGCACCAGAUUUUAGAAGGACACAAAGAUGAAGUCUGGUUUUUGGAGUUCUCUCAUAACGGGAAAUACCUAGCCUCGUCAUCUGCGGAUUGUUCAGUAAUUAUAUGGGAGGUAAGUUGAAGUGCUAUUAAAUAUUGCUCAAUAGAUUUUUGCUUUAUCAAAAGUCAUCUUGUCUAUUGCUUGUCAUAUCCUCUAUUAAUAUAUUUUUAAUUGAACUUUUCUCCAUUGUAUUUCUUCUCUCUUUGCACCCGAUGCCAUAAUUUUCUUGCAUGACCUUUAUCUUUUUCCUUUAACUAAUAAUUUCAGAAAAAAAUAGCACUGUUUUUGCUUCACUUUUCCAUGCAGUGCCACAAAUGGAAUGUUUCUUUUUUGUAGAUUCCACUGAUGUAUCUUUAGUAUGACAGUAGAAAGUCCUUCGUCCAUUUCCAUAACUGAUAAACCUUUAGAGAGAGUAGCUCCUCUUCCUCUCCAGAACUCUAACAAUACCAACUUCUUUCUUUUUCAUCAUCACACUAGCUAUCUUUCCUAAUUCCUUUCUGAGUGUCUUCUUUCCCAUGUUAGUCUUAACGAGAUAACCAUAUCCUCAGCUAUUUUUACCAAUACAUCUUUAUGAUUAAGUCUUGCUUCCCAAAUGAUUCCCAGUUCAUUCAUAUUUUAUCUAUCCCACAAUACCAUUUAAACAUUGUGUAACAUUCAUUCUCUGACCUAAAGAAUCCUAUUAUAGGUAUAUAUGAUUUUACAGUUCAGAGAACAAGGGAAAAGUGAGCUAUUAUUGCUGAAAAUAUGAAUUUUAAUGGUAGAUUUGACUGACGAUUUAAGUUCACCUCUCAAUUAUUUGCCCUUUUGCAGGUGAAGUUUGAUGGAAGGUUAUGCUUGAAGCACAAAGUUCUUGGUCAUGAGGAACCUGUGUGCUUUAUAUCAUGGAGCCCUGAUGACAGUAAGCUUCUCACCUGUGGAGUGGAAGAGGUUGUUAGACUGUGGGAUGUAGACUCCGGUGAGUGUAUACAUCUUUAUGAGAAAAAUGGUCUUGGUUUGAUUUCGUGUGGAUGGGCUCCCGAUGGGGAAAGGAUAUUUUGCGCUGUUACUGACAAAAGCAUUAGCAUGUGGGAUCUUGAAGGGAAAGAGCUGCAGUGUUGGAAAGGCCAUCGGGUUACUAAAAUAGCUGAUUUGGGGAUAACAAGUGAUGGGAAACACAUGGUCUCUGUUUGUAAAGAUAAUGUGAUACUGUUAGUUGGAUUGGAAUCAAAAACAGAGCAAAUAAUUCUAGAGGAUGAAGUAAUAACUUCAUUUGUAUUGUCCGCAGACGGUAGAUACAUAUUGAUAAGUCUGUUAAAUCAAGAAAUCCAUCUUUGGAGUAUAGAUGGGAUUAUAAAACUCUUACACAUCUAUAAAGGCCAUAAGCAAAAACGCUUCAUCGUAAGGCCUUGCUUUGGUGGACUUCGUCAAGCUUUCAUCGCCAGUGGAAGUGAGGAUUCACAGGUACUUAUUUCGUUGAUUGAGAAGCCAAAUCUUUUUGUUAGUAUGAUUUGUACGCUUAGUUGAAGAUUCAAGCAAUUUGACAAUUCUACUGUCAUCAAAUUAGACAGGCAUCUUUUAAGAUGGUUUUUGACCGCAAAUGCAUCUUUUUCAUGACCAGAAUAGAAACUUCCUUUUUCUACAUCAGGAAUACGGUAGUUGUGUUUUUGACCCUUCGCUCUUUUUUAUUAACAAUCAAAUGUAAGGUUCAAGAUCAUCCCGUGACAGCGUCCUGCUUUUUUUUUUCUUUGUUUAUGCUUUGACAUCUUUAUUGUCGUGGAAAGAAUACUUUCUUAAUGUUAUAUCCAGGGGAGAGAAAUUGAUCUUGAUCUAAUACCGUAUUUCAGAUAUAUAUAUGGCACAGAUGCUCACAACAACUCCUCGGGAAGUUAGCUGGACAUACUGGGACUGUCAACUGUGUUAGUUGGAACCCAGCAAAUCCUCAUAUGCUGGCAUCAGGAGGUGAUGAUCGGACCAUUCGCAUAUGGGGCUUGAAUCCUGCAAACGUGAUGAAGCACAAUGACGAGGGAGCUGUAAGUAAUGGUGUGAACGACUGCAAUUGCAGAACGUGAAGUCUUGGAGGUGAAUUAGCGAGUGAGUCGUUACAAGAUUUCUCUCCAUAACCAGUUGCUUUCGAUGUAUAAUCUCUUACAUCAUUAAGCUAAACAUUUGAGACAAACAAGAAUGUACAAUUUGCAUUCAGUCCAGAAAUAAAUGUUGAACUUCUCCAUCUCUCUCUCUUUUUGGUUGAUUUCCUAUGGGUUCCUGUUGUUGUUACUGCUUAUGUCUUCAUAAAUGUCGUGUUUUUGCUUUUCGUGAGCCGAGGGUCUAUUGUAAACAACCUCUCUACCUGUCAAGGUAGGGGUAAGGUCUACGUACAUUCUACCCUCCCAAGGUCUGCGUAUAUAUAUAUAUAUAUCAAUUAUUUGAUUGGGCUGCUAUUGACUUGGGUUUUAACCUAAUUCAAGUCGAAGAAACUUAUUCCAGUGUUCAUCUACUUUCAAUUUCCUCAACUUCGCCAGAGCCAUCUGGUAUGGAGGGAUAGAAAUAUGAUUUUUUUUGGUAUAUACUCUCAGUUAGGGGAGUUCACGGUUUGGAUAAAAACCGAUCCAAACCGAAAAACCAAACCAAAUCGAUAAAAAUAAAAUCGAUUUUAUUUGGAUUUGGUUUGGUUUGGUUUUAGAUUUUUGAAAACCGAUAGUAUUUGGUUUGGUUAUGGUUUAUUCAAAAAAACCGAAGAAUAACCAAACCGAACCGAUGAAUUAUAUACAUAUAUUUUAUUAAUAUACAUACUUAAUAUAUUAUUUUUAUAAACAAUUUUAAAGAUCUUAUACAUAUUUUCAUUAAAAUUUCUUUAUAAUUUACUUAUUGAAAGCAAAAAUGCCCAAGAUGAAACAUUUAUCUUAUUGAUUUCAUGUAUAUGAGUGUCUAUAUCAAUUCUUUGUGGGACUGAAAAUGUUAUUGUCUCUUCCUUCUAGGCCAAUAUAGUGAAUUUUAAAGCUUUAUUGAUAGUAAAUUUAGUGAUUGAAAGUUUUACUAAUUUAAGUCAUUCUAACUAUUUUUCGUUUUGAAUGGAUUGUUUUCACUUUUUUCACAUUUUAAAUGAAUUGUUUCUUUUAUUUUUGUGUAUGGUUAAUAACCGAAUAACCGAACCAAACCAAACCGAUACCGAUAAUAACCAAACCGAUAAAUGUAUAUUGUAUUUGGUUUGAUUUGGUUUUAAUAAUUUUAAAACCGAUCAAGUUGGUUUGGUUUUGGUUUUGACCAAUAACCGAUCCAAACCAACCCGUGAACACCCCUACUCUCAGUUUAAAAUUUUAUCAGUCAAUUUCAGAUGGGCGUGUCCAAUCAGAAACAUUUUGAACGUAUGUUUUUCUAAUUGAACGUCGUCCAAUGAAAAUUGACUGAUUUAUAGUAGUAUAAGUUAGACACAAUAUCUAUAUUUGGUUUACCAUCACAUGAGAACAUCAUGAUCAGUAUCGAAACAAGAAUUUUCAUUUAAACGUCGAGAUUUAGAAUAUAAAGAAGUAAAGAUACAAAAAAGGCAAAGGUGAAUAUUUCAAGGAUUAAUUACCUAACUACAUAUCCUUUUCUACCAUAUUUUCUAUUAUUCCCUACCAUUUCCAAAAAUUACAAAAAUCCUUUUUUUCCAUAAUUUCUCUUACUUUUCCAGAUACAUCACCCCAAGAUUUAUUUUUCCUUUUUUCACGCCUAAAAUCGCGUAUCAUCAAAUUAUCUUCAUCACUCUAUUUUUGAAUUUCAAAUCUUUUCUCUUUCUGAUUUAUCAAUUGCAAGUUAUUGAAGAGAUAGUUAUUCUUCAUCUAUUUUUUUUCUUUCUACUUCAUCAGAUAGCGACUUUUUUUUUUUUUAGCUUUUUUCAUCUACAAAUUUAAUCGAAGAAGGAUGCAUCUUCAACUUCAAAAUCGAUUGUGGAAAAAAUGCCCAAAAAAAGGAGGAAAAGGUCGAGUUGUUGGUGCUCCGGUAAGGGCUUUGGGUCGAGAUCCAUGAGUGACGCCAUUGUUGAAAGUGAAAAAAAAAAUUGCGGAAGUUGAUGUAGAAAAAAAAGAAAGUGUAGAAGGAUUUCUUCAUCAUUUUUUUGCUUUCAGCAAAUCAGAUUGUUGAUUUUUUUUUCGAUUUUUUGUUGUUCAUUUUUUUCUGAUACAUAUGGGUUCAGAUCUUUUAAUGUAUGUAGUUGAUUUUGAUUUUUAAAUUAAUGUAUAAUUCAUUCGUUUCACCUUUAUGAUACAUUACAAUUUUAUCAGGUACAAUAUAUCGUUUUCAAAUAGUAGUUUGAUACAUAACCCUAAUUUAUUGAAACACAAAUUAGUAUGUAUCAUGUUCAUAGUUAUGUAUUGGAUACACAAAUACAAAUUUCGUUAUCUUUUACUACCGACACAUACACCCAGUCUUAUUCAACUAGUAGAAGGCUAUGUAUCUGUAGACACUAUCAAAUAUUAAUGUUGAUACAUAAACACUAAUGUUUUAUAACAAAAUCAGUUUGUAUCAUAUUCAUAGUAAUGUAUCAGAUGUUGUGAUGUAUAGCAUGUUGUUAUGUAUCUGCAACACUGUUUUAUAAAUAAAUCAGUUUUAUCAUAUUCAUAAAAAAAUUUUGUAUAUGGUACAUAACUAUAUAAAAUUAUUGACUUUUUUUUAAUCUGUUACGAUUUGGGAGAGAAUUUGAGAGAAGAAAAUUUGAAAUUUGAAUUGUUUGGAGCUGUUAUUUAGGAGAGAUUGACAUCAAUUUGAUUUGCAUGAUUUGGAAAACUGACAUUUAUUUUUAUAUUUAAUUUCAUUUUUAAUAUCAACAAAUUGGUUGUAUAAUGUAUCACAAUUAAUAUAUCCGGAUAAAAUUUAUGUAUUUGAAUAACUGAUAUUUGAUUUUUUUUUUUGUAAAAUAGAAAAAAGUAGAAAUAAAAUGUAAUUUAUGUCUUGUGGGAUUUAUUAAGUUAUACAUAUUUCAAAAGUGCGUAAACAUACGAAAUUUACCAUUUCAAUUCAACAAAUCCAACAAUUGUUUGGAUAAUUUUGAUUUGGGCCGACUAACAAUACAUCUCUCAACAAUAAACAAAAACAAACAAACAUUUUAUCUAUAAAAAAAAUCGAUGAUCAUACAUGAAAUUAAUCAAUCAAACUUACGAUAAAAUCUCAAACAUUGAGAUUUUUCUUUAUUCAAAAUCGUAAUUUUAUUUUUUAUUUUUUAUUUUUCUUAAAUAUUGAGAUUUUUCUUUAUUCAAAAUCGUAAUUUUAUUUUUUAUUUUUUACAAUUAUUAAUUUAAGAAGCCGCAGCGGCCGCGGCGGGAGCAGGAGCAUCAGCAGCAGCUGAACAAACAGCUGGAAUUUGUUUACCCUUAAAAUUUGGCUUAAUAUUUUCACAACUUGAUUUUGCUGGUCCUUCUUUACCACUAUAUGAGAUGUCAAUGUCUCCAACUUCAACACCUUCACAUGGUGAGCCUUUGCUACAAAGUAGUGUGACUGCAUUUUGAGUUCUUGAUGUACCUUUUAUGUUUUGGAUAGACACCUUGCUAAUCUUCACUUGUGAAGGCAACUACAAAAAAAUAAUAAUAAAUAAAUAAGAAAAUUAGAUUAGGAUCGUGAAAUAUCGAUGUAUAAAAGUUAUUGUUGUAUGUGUGACUAGAAGGUAUAAGUAAGGUUGUGUGUAAUAGGUUUAGUAUGCAUAUGUGCAUAGUAGGUGGGUGGAGCCACUUUUGAACUUCAGACCGAUGGUCUGAUGUUGAAAAAGUGGUUAACUCUUAAAUAUAGGGCGAGACAAAAGUGGUUAUUUUUUGCAAAUUAGCUAGACAAAGUGGUCAACUCUAUCUAUUAAGAGGUUAUCUAUGCACGAAAAAAAUAUCAUAGAUCAGGAAGAAAACCUUAGUGUAAUGAUAAAAAAACUUAUCGAUAUGUGACUAGAAAACCAGGAUGAAACCCAUGGAAAUAUAGUCCUUUUUGUAAAAAAAAAAAAUGCAAGUAAAACCAUGCACAAUAGAUUCAAUGUGAUUCAUUGGGCCACAUUUUCAAAACUUUAGCCCAAUGGUCUAAUUUUUAAGAAGUUUUCAAAAGUGGCUAGUUUUUAAAUACAAAGCAACAAAAGUGGUUAUUUUUGUAAAAGUAUCCAUGUAAAACACUUGGUAUGCGAUAGAGCGAUACUUAAAAGAAUGUAAAGAUCUCAACCAUCUGAACUACUAAUAAUUAUAAAAGUAAAGGUACGUAUGUACGUACGAUCAAGCGAUAUAUAAUACUUACAUCUUUGUUGCAUUUUCCACUUGGACAAUAAACUUGAUCAAUGACAAUAGGAUUGCUAACAUUUUGCACAAUGAUAUCUUCAAAAUGUAUAUCAGAUACAACACCAGGAUGAGAAGCAGGCCAUGUCUUGAUCCUAACACCAUUAUCAGUGCUAGUAAAAGUGCAAUUUUUAACAAAAACACCAACAACUGGCUUUUCACCAGGAUUUCCACCAAGGCUACCAACACUAAUACCAUGACCAGGUCCACAAGUGACUUUGGUGAUGUAAAGUUGUUCCGUUUCAUCGCCAAUGGAGAUGCAAUCAUCUCCAGUGGAGAAAGCAGACUCUGUGAUAUUCACAGAGCUUGCUCUCGCCACGUGGAUCCCAUCAGUGUUCGGGCUAUUAGCCGGAGCACUGACAUUGAAGUUGAUGAAUGUUAAGUUCUUGCAUUGGUUAACAUUCACAUGAAAUGAUUUGCUAUCCAAUGUUGUUAUGUCCUUGAUUAUGGAAUUUGUGAGGGAGUUGAAGCUCAAAUUCUACACCAAAAAAAAAAAAAACAAAUAGAGUUAGUUAGUGCGCGUUUGAUCGUGAAAAUAAUUUUUGACUAAUUAAUUAAUUACCUAAAAUAUAUAAUCAAAUCUGCUAUAAAAGAGUAAUAUGUCAAAGUAGAGAUAGUCACACAUAUUGUCAUAGAUUAGAUCUCAUAUACAAGCUACAUACUCUUUGCAAAUUAAUUAAUAAUAUUUGAUUGUUUGAUUGUACUUUUUCUUUUAAAAAAACAUGAAAUAUAAUUAAAAUGAGUUUAUUUUUAUAAAAUAAAAAGUUUAGGGUAAAUUUGAAAAUGAAAAAAAUUCUAGUUGUAUUCAGAAUUUUCAUGGUCAAACGCUGAUUUCUGAGUAAAGUAAAAAAAAAAUUCGGAAAAAAAAUAAUCAAAUAGAAACUGUUACUCUUUUCAAAUGUUUUUUUUCGAUCAGACGAAAUAGAUUUUGAAAGUUUGAUCAAACAGAAACAAACAGGACUUACAUUGGGAAGCUUGGUGCACUUUUUGGACUGUUUGCAUUCCCAUGCAGCUUUACCUUGACCAUCAAGUGUUCCACCACCAGACAUUGUGAAGAAAUCAAGUUUGUUGACUGUUAACCAUUCACCAACCUUGAUUGCAUUAGGGUCUGAAGGAGCUUUCAAAAUGGCUUGAAUUUGAAGUUCAAUAGGGCCUUUGCAUGGUCCUUCUAAUUUCACUUGGUUCAUUUGGAAUGUUCCUUUUGGGAUCACUAUUGUACUUGGACUUGUUGAUGCACAUGCCUCUUUAAAAGCUUUCCCCACAGCCUAAACAUUUUAAUAAUAAAAAAUUUCAUCACCAAAAAAUGAAAAAAAAAGAUGAAGAGAGAAUAUAUUGUAUAGUUAGUUUUGAAGAUAUUGUAAGGUGCUAGCUUUGUUUUUUCUUCUUAUAUUGAUGUGGUGUCUGAUCAGCUUGUGUGUAAUUUGAUUAUGUCAUAUGACAUCUGCAUGCUACAUUUCACCAGUACAUAUGUUGAAUAACUCUGUCAUUCAAGACUUAGGCAUAUAAAUUCUGUGAUUUGAUUGUAAACUUAAUCUUACAUGAUUUUAAUUCACUUCAUAAUCACUAGACCUUGAUCGUGACCGAGUCAAAUAAAUUAAUAAAGGGGUUCAAAAAAUAUUACAUUUGAGAUUUGAACCUAUGACCUAAAGAAAAUUUUGAAUUUCGUUUGCUACCACACUAUCUUCUUUUUAUAUAUGUAACUGACAUUCAACGAUUUAUAAUCAUUUUUGUCUUAUUUAUGCAUUAUAAUUUUCAAACAAAUGAGAUUCAACUGAAUCUGUUUUCGUACACGUAACUCCGCCCUUGGCUAGGCCACAUCCUUCGGUGCAAUAACGUACUUAUUUUAUUCAUCAUUUAAAAACAAAAUGGUAUUUUUUUUUAAAAGUAGGUAUAUAGUAGGUUGAAAUCAACAAAAUAAUGAUAAAAAAAAUGCAUGACUUACCUCACUAAUAUCAGCAUUGGCAUUGGCACCAUAUUUAGUUAUAUCAAAAGUUGCAUUUUGAGAUUCUCCAAGAUGUGCUAGAAAUAACACACCCAACCCAAAAUAAACCAACUUUAAUUUCAUAUCCAUUUUUUUUUUUUUUGAAGUUUUUUUUUUUUUUUUUUUUUUUGUUGAAGUUUUUUGGGGUAAUAUAUACUUCAAUUUAUGAAUUUGUAAAGUGAAUGUUGAAGCCUUUUUAUAGUGUAAAAAAAUUGGCACAAUUGAAACAUUCCACCUAUUUUAAACCAUAGAUUGAGUUGCGGAGAAGAAGUUGGAAAUUAGUUGUACAUGGUCUAAUUUUUUUUUAAAAUUGGGGGUAGGACAAGAGCGGAUUUAGAGGGUAGCGAGGGAUUCACUUGAACAUUUUCGAUAAAAAAUUACAUGAUAUAUUUAAGAUAUUUUAAAUUUUUUAUGUAUGUAUAAAGAUUUUGAACGUCUUGGAUAUAAGAUUAAAGGUUGAUUUAGUGGUUGAGGUGAUCAAGUUCAAAUUCCUCACAUAUAUUUUUGUUUUUCCGAACUCCCUUAAUGAAAAUCUUGGAUCUGUCAUAAGUAUAGAGAUAGGGGCAGUGGCGGAGUCACACACCCCUUCGUCGAAAAACUACACUGUUAUAUAAAUAUAUAUAUAUAUAUAUAUAACACGCUUUGGCUUCUAAGCGAUUUUACUUCUUUAUGUUUUGACACACGUUGGUCGAAAUUUGACUCUACCACUGAAUAGGGGUAGGGAUAGGGGAACAAAGAGGGGAUUAUAUGAUGGGGAAUCGAACUCUCACCAACUAAGUGCAUGAGAGUUCAUGUAACCAACUAAGAUACUAUGAUUCUCCACUUUCCCGUUUUACUUGGUUUAGAAGUGCAAUAAAAAUUAAAUAUUUGUGUAUUAUUUUGGGAAUAUGAAAUAACUAUUUCUUGAAAUUUCCUAGUAAGUUGCAUUCAGAGUGCAUAUCGCACAAGUCAAUCUCGUUAAGUCUUUGUGAGAUAUUUGGAUUUCUUGUCCUCCUUUGAGACACGACAGUCUAUAAACUUAUGUCCAUUUUUUCCACAGUUAUAACGGCUGUCCUUGAACUUUUUCUUGUUUGGAAAAUUCUAGUAGUCUAGAGUUUUAUUUAGUCAACAUCUUCACUUUUGUAUUUCUUUUUAAGAAUAUCCUUCAAUUUUUUAAAAAUACAAAUAUUAUUGUGGAAGUUAUACAAAUAAUAAUCCUACCAAAAAAAAUAUUAGAGUAUUUCUAAGCCUCUGUCGAUUUUAUGUCAACAAUGUGUAUUGAAACUUUGGGUUGGUUUUAUUAUAUACCUAUUUGGGACUUGUUGGGAUGGUAGGGGUGUCAACUGUUUUUAAAAAAUUGAUUUACCUGAUCGAUUCGAACUGUAUCAAAUAAAAUUGAUAUUUUUUAUAUAAAUUUAUAAUUGUACCGAAUAAUUAGGAAGGUUUUUUAUUUUAUAAAAAUUAAUUGAAAAAAUAUUUAACCGUACCAAAUAAUAUAUGUAUAAAAUAUAUAUUACACAUUAUGUUUAAAAAUAAUAAAAUUUUUGCUUUAGACCCAGGAUAAUGGAAGCGAUAACAUAAUUAACACUCAAAGUUCUAACACUUGAAAUUUUUAUAGAUUUAGGAGUGUGCAUUCGAUUUGGUUUAGUAUUAUUUGUUCCGAUUUUUUAUUUUGAAAAAGUAUAAUCCAACCCAAACUCAAAUAAAUUUGAUUUAGUUUGGCGUUUUUCAAUUCGCUUUUUCGGUCAUGUCAAUAAUCAAUAAUAUAAUCAAAGUUAUAUUUUGCAUGUUGAAAAAAAUAUAAAUAUACAAGAAGAAAUUAUAAUAUUGAACUCUCAAAUAUAUCUAAUAUAAAUCAAAACUAAAACUUAAAAUACAAUACUUAAAAAUAGAUCAAUAGAUGUCCAAACAUAAAAUAUAAACUAAAUUAUAUUAAAAGAUAAUAAUUAAAAAGGGACAAACGUGGUUAAUUUCAACUUUAAUUCUAAACCUAUAUAUAUAUAUAUACACACCUAUACAAGAUUUGAACCUGUAUAUUUGUUGUCAUUCAUUUUUACAUGAUGUUGUACUUAUAUUAUAAACGGAAAAGGCUUUAAACAUGUUAUCGAAUUAUGAAAAAAGACUCAUCUAUGCAAUCCGUUAAAAGUUUGGCUCAUUUUUAUCGGUUCAUUCAUCCUAUUAUUUGUUAACUGAAAUGUCAUUUCCGUUAAAAGGCUCUAGUAUCGCAACGAGUUCUUUCUCCUUGAUUUGGUUCAAAGUAAUUGCUAGCCAACCACUCAAAUUCAUUCUCAAAUCAUAAAUUUAUAGAUUUAAAUGAUACUUACAAAAUUGAUUUAGUAAAUUGAGUAAGAAAAAAUGGAAAAGGGUCAAAAAUACCAUUAAACUAUCCAAAAUAGAUCAUAUUUACCCUUAAACUAUAUUUCGGCUCAAAACUACCCUUCCCGUCAAACUAUUGGGUCAAAAGUGUCCUUAAUAACAGAAAUUGUUAAAUGCCACAUGGAUGCCAUGUGGAUGCCACAUUGCACGCCAAUAGGGGUUCCACUGCCACAUAGACUAAACGGAAAAGGGUCAAAAAUACCAUUAAACUAUUCAAAAUAACUCAUAUUUACCCUUAAACUAUAUUUCAACUCAAAAUUACCUUUCCCAUCAAACUAUUGGAUCAAAAGUACCUUCUUAUUGACGGAAGUUGUUAAAUGUCAUGUGGAUGCCACAUUGCAUGCCAAUAGGGUUCCAUGCCACAUAGACUAAAAUUCCUAAAAUCCUAAUUACUCCUCCCCCCCCCCCCCCCGUCAUUUCAUUAUUUUCCAUAAAACGAUUUCACCCCUUCUCCCUCAUUUCGCAGCUAGGGUUUCACAGUUUUCUUCGUGGCUGGGUUUCAAAGUAGAUAUUCGUGGUUGUAGGUUAGUAAAUCUUUUUUCUUAUUUUAUUAUGUUUACGACUUUCCAAAAGCAUGAUAGUUAUGAUUUCACAACUUUCCCCUCAUUUCGCGGCUAGGGUUUCAUAACUUUCUUCGGGGCUGAAUUUCAAUGUGGAUAUUCGUGUUGUAGGUUAGUAAAUCUUUUUUGUUAUUUCAGUAUGUUUGCGAUUUCAAAGCAUGAUAGUUAGGAUUUCACAACUUUUCCCUCAUUUCGUGGCUAGGGUUUCAUAGCUUUCUUCGGAGCUGGGUUUCAAAGUGGAUAUUCGUGGUUGUAAACAUAAUAAAAUAAGAAAAAAGAUUUUACUAACCUACAACCACGAAUAUCCACUUUAAAACCCAGCGACGAAGAAAACUGUGAAACCCUAGCCGCGAAAUGAGGGAGAAUGGGUGAAAUUGUUUCUGGAAAAUAAUGAAAUGAGGGGAAAAAAGUAAUCAAAAUUUAGUGAUUUAGUCUAUGUGGCAGUGGAACCCUAUUGGCGUGCAAUGUGGCAUCCACAUGGAAUUCACAUGGCAUUUAACAACUUCCGUUAAUAAGAAGGGCACUUUUGACGACCCAAUAGUUUGACGGAAAUGGUAGCUUUGAGCCGAAAUAUAGUUUAAGGGUAAAUAUGAGCUAUUUCGAAUAGUUUGAGGGUAUUUUUUACCCUUUUCCUUUUAGUCUAUGAGGCAGUGGAAUCCUAUUGGCGUGCAAUCUGGAAUCCACAUGGCAUUUAACAACUUCCGUUAAUAAGAAGGGCACUUUUGACCUAAUAGUUUGAUGGAAAGGGUAGUUUUGAGCCGAAAUAUAGUUUAGGGAUAAAUAUGAGCUAUUUCAGAUAGUUUAAGGGUAUUUUUGACCAUUUUCCGAAGAAAAAAUUGUAAGUUCAACGAUCAUAUGAAAAAAAUAAAAUAACUUGAACUUACAAUAGAACUCAAAAAUAAAAUCAAUUAAGAAGACGAAGAAGGAGUAGGAGCAGCGGGAGCAGAAGCAGGGGAAGAAGCAAAGGCAGAGCAAACAGCUGGACUCUGUUUUCCCUUAAAAUUUGGCUUAAUAUUUUCACAACUUGAUUUUGCUGGUCCUUCUUUACCACUAUAUGAAAUGUCAAUGUCUCCAACUUCAACACCUUCACAUGGUGAGCCUUUGGUACAAAGUAGUGAUACUACACUUUGAGUUCUUGAUGUACCCUUUAUGUUUAGGAAUGUCACCUUGCUAAUCUUCACUUGUGAAGGCAACUGCAAAAGACGCGAUAAAGAAUGAUGAGUUGGAUGCAUGAAAGUUUAGUGUAACGAUAGAAAUUCAGAGUCGUUGUUGGUAUGUAUGACUAGGAGGUCACCAUGCAAGGGAUGGAAACCGCCUUUUGUAAAGGUAAGUAAAAUUGUGGACAAUAGAUUCAAUGUGAGGGCGAUCAGAUAACUAGGAUAAAACACUUUCUAUUAUGAUGUUAUCUAUUUUUGGUGCUGUAAAGAUAUGACACCUGGGCCUAACUCAACCUCAAAAGCUAGCUCUUGAGGGGAGGUUUGUCCAAGUUCAUAUAAGGAGACCAAAUUUCAUCCCUCUACGGAUGUGGGACUUUUUAACACUCCCCGCACUCCCAAACCUCAACUAGAUAGUGAACACUUCUAAAUGGGGGCCUAAUAUCGGUGAACAACAAAUCAGGAUGGGCCUGACUCUGAUACCAUGUGCAGCAUCUAUGCAUGACAAAAAAAGGAACGAUGCAAAGACAUGAAAACGCAAUACUUACAUCUUUGUUGCAUUUGCCACUUGGGCAAUAAACUUGAUCAAUGACAACAGGGUUGCUAACAUUUUGCACAAUGAUAUCUUCAAAAUGUAUGUCAAAGACAACACCAGGAUGAGAAGCAGGCCAUAUUUUAAUCCUAACACCAUUAUCAGUGCUAAUGAAAGAGCAAUUCUUAACAAAAACACCAAUAACUGGCUUUUCAUCAGGGUUGCCACCAAGGCUACCAACAUUAAUACCAUGACCAGGUCCACAAGUGACUUUAGUGAUGUAAAGUUGUUCUGUUUCAUCGUCAAUGGAGAUACAAUCAUCACCAGUAGCAAAGUUAGAGUAUGUAACAUUCACGGAGCUUGAUCUUGAGAUGUGGAUGCCAUCAGUGUUGGGGCUACUAGCUGGAGCACUGACGUUGAACUGGAGGAACGUUAAGUUCUUGCAUUGGUUCACGUUAACGUGGAAUGAUUUGCUGUCCAAUGUUGUUAUGUCCUUGAUUAUGGAAUUUGUGAGGGAGUUGAAGCUCAAAUUCUACACCAUAUGCAAAUAUAAGAAAGAAAAAAAGUACAUUUAUCAGAGUCAACAAAUUUUGAAAGUUUGACCAAACAGAAACGUCUUAUGACUUACAUUGGGAAGCUUGGUGCACUUUUUGGACUCUUUGCAUUCCCAUGCAGCUUUACCUUGACCAUCAAGGACUCCACCACCAGACAUUGUGAAGAAAUCAAGUUUGUUGAUUGUUAACCAUUCACCAGUCUUGAUUUGGUUUGGGUCUGAAGGAGCUUUCAAAGUGGCUUGGAUUUGAAGUUCAAUAGGUCCUUUGCAUGGGCCUUCUAGUUUCACUUGGUUCAUUUGGAAUGUUCCCUUUGGGAUCACAAUGGUGCUUGGGCUUGUUGAUUGACAUGCCUCUUUAAAAGCUUUGCCCACAGCCUAAACAAUAACAAAGUAGAAAAAGAAUUGCAAUUAGUUUUGAAGAUAUUUAUAAUGUGCUUUUUUUGGUCUUUUGGUUUUGUUUCAAUGACAAGUGGUGUACGAUCAGCUUGUACGCAUUUUGACUAUUUCACAUGCAUAUGUUACAUUUCAUCAGUAAUACAAGAGUAACUAUGUUCUUCAAGAUUUAGACAAAUAAGAAGAAAACAUCUAAUAAUUUUUUUCUUUUUGAUUUCCCAACCUAAUGCCCAAUAUGGCUCGACUUAUCCAGAUUCGCGUCAGAAAUUACAGUUCUCACUUUAAGGAUUAAAAUACUUUGUAGCCAAGGUAUAACUCCAUAUUUCUAUUGUAAUUUGAAUGUAAAUUCAGACGUGUUAUAUGUUUUUAACUCCAUUUUCCACUGAACACAACAAUGACGAAGUUAAGAAUUUCAACAAAUCUUGAACCCCUUUGCAUUUCCACUAGAAUCUUUUAUUCAACUAUUCAUGUGUAUGCAAAUGAAUUAAUUUUCAUCUCUUAUGAUUUUUGGAUGAAAGAAAUUCAAUUGAACCGCCUUAUUAU